AGUGAACGCUGGCGGUAGGCCUAACACAUGCAAGUCGAACGGCAGCACAGUAAGAGCUUGCUCUUACGGGUGGCGAGUGGCGGACGGGUGAGGAAUACAUCGGAAUCUACUUUUUCGUGGGGGAUAACGUAGGGAAACUUACGCUAAUACCGCAUACGACCUACGGGUGAAAGCAGGGGAUCUUCGGACCUUGCGCGAUUGAAUGAGCCGAUGUCGGAUUAGCUAGUUGGCGGGGUAAAGGCCCACCAAGGCGACGAUCCGUAGCUGGUCUGAGAGGAUGAUCAGCCACACUGGAACUGAGACACGGUCCAGACUCCUACGGGAGGCAGCAGUGGGGAAUAUUGGACAAUGUGCGCAAGCCUGCUCCAGCCAUACCGCGUGGGUGAAGAAGGCCUUCGGGUUGUAAAGCCCUUUUGUUGGGAAAGAAAAGCAGCAGGUUAAUACCCCGCUGUUCUGACGGUACCCAAAGAAUAAGCACCGGCUAACUACGUG
rnacentral:rRNA from 1 species